UUCUGCGGGUGGUUGACAGAAAGGUGACCUCGAGUGGCGCAGUGGGUCGGCACUGGAAUCACCUGAACACAUCGACCUACAUGUACAGUGGUGUGGGUCUUGAUUGUACACAAUACUGCGUGGAUUCUUCCUUCUCUAGGAGAUGACUUGCGUGUGAUGUAGCACACAAAAUAUCAAUUCGUAGCUUAUUUUUAGCUUUAUGGGUACAUUAGAACUAUUCAUAAAACCUAACCUCAGCGCGAUGGCGUAUACAUUGUAUAUUUGAGUAAGUACAUCGUUACACCAUGUGGCUGACUCUUGCCAUGUUCACCAGUCAAGUCAGUCUGUGAUAGGUUUUCUGUCGGUGUGGCUUUGCGAGUUCUUCCUGGUUUGGUGUGUCAGAGCUUUAACGUGUCUGAUGAUGUGUAACGUUUGUGUCACUGAAAUAGUCUUUUAAAUUAGGGAAUAUACUUUCGGCCUUGACAUAUAACUUUUCAAGAAGACACAAAUCUGGUUAUCGCCAAGACUAAUUUAUUUGACGACUUUAACAUCAUGUCAACGCUAAUUGGAUUGACUUGUUUACUAUUUAUGAGAGCCACACACGUUGACUCACAGUCACUGUGUGAUGCCAGUACUUACCUGGAGGUAAAAGAAGGUCGAGACAACACGUUUGUCUGUACAGGGCUAGCAGCAACACAAAACGUCUACUGGUUUUGGAGAUCGGAGAGUAUAUCUACCUGUGGUACGACAGGCUGCAGCAACGACAGGUACCCUGACAACUUCCAGAUCAGCAGAGCGUCACCGACAUCAAGUAACAUCGCAGUUUAUGUCACCGCAUUCCCCGAUUUAGAUUAUUUAGCUACAACUAACCUGUCCUGCCAGCAGACGUCAAGGGUGACAUGUCAGCUGGAUGUAGUAUACCCUGCUGAGGAUACCAAGUGUCAGAUUCAGUUUAGUGGAGACACAUGGGAGGUAACUGGCUGGUGCACCGUUUCCAAGGCCCGGUCAAGGAGAAACAGAUAUGGGUGUUUAGUAUACCAGGUAAGCCUUUGUUAUAAAUCGUCAUAUUUUUUAAUUGCUUAACAAAUACUUGAACUGUUGCACAAAGUACCGUCAAGACUGUUCUUGUUGAAAGUUACCUUGUAGCUUUUCCAAUUUAUCCAAAAUAGUAUCCUCUACUUCACAACCUGCAAUUGUGUUGAAUUGUUUCCC